AAGUCGUAACAAGGUCUCCGUUGGUGAACCAGCGGAGGGAUCAUUACCGAGUUUACAACUCCCAAACCCCUGUGAACAUACCUAUUGUUGCCUCGGCGGUGCCUGUUCCGACAGCCCGCCAGAGGACCCCAAACCCUGAUUACAUUAAAGAAUUCUUCUGAGUAACCGAUUAAAUAAAUCAAAACUUUCAACAACGGAUCUCUUGGUUCUGGCAUCGAUGAAGAACGCAGCGAAAUGCGAUAAGUAAUGUGAAUUGCAGAAUUCAGUGAAUCAUCGAAUCUUUGAACGCACAUUGCGCCCGCUAGUAUUCUGGCGGGCAUGCCUGUUCGAGCGUCAUUUCAACCCUCAAGCCCCCGGGCUUGGUGUUGGGGAUCGGCGAGCCUCCGCGCCCGCCGUCCCCUAAAUCUAGUGGCGGUCUCGCUGUAGCUUCCUCUGCGUAGUAGCACACCUCGCACUGGGAAACAGCGCGGCCACGCCGUUAAACACCCGACUUCUGAAAGUUUGACCUCGGAUCAGGUAGGAAUACCCGCUGAACUUAA
rnacentral:rRNA from 1 species